UACAGAGGGGGCAAGCGUUGUUCGGAAUUACUGGGCGUAAAGGGCGCGUAGGCGGUUUGAAAAGUCAGAUGUGAAAUCCUGGGGCUCAACCUCAGAACAGCAUAUGAAACUUUCAGACUCAGAGGGUAGGCGGAGAAAAUGGAAUUCCACAAGUAGCGGUGAAAUGCGUAGAUAUGUGGAAGAACACCAGUGGCGAAGGCGGUUUUCUAGCUUAUACCUGACGCUGAGGCGCGAAAGCAAGGGGAUCAAACAGG
rnacentral:rRNA from 1 species